UACAGAGGUCCCGAGCGUUGUUCGGAUUCAUUGGGCGUAAAGGGUGCGUAGGUGGCGCUGUAAGUGGGGUGUGAAAUCCCGGGGCUUAACCCCGGGACUGCAUUCCAUACUGCGGUGCUUGAGGACUGGAGAGGAGACUGGAAUUUACGGUGUAGCAGUGGAAAUGCGUAGAGAUCGUAAGGAAGACCAGUGGCGAAGGCGGGUCUCUGGACAGUUCCUGACACUGAGGCACGAAGGCCAGGGGAGCAAACGGG
rnacentral:rRNA from 1 species